rnacentral:rRNA from 1 species
AGAGUUUGAUCAUGGCUCAGGACGAACGCUGGCGGCGUGCCUAACACAUGCAAGUCGAACGGGGAUAGGUUGAAGGUUUACCUGAUAUCUAUUCUAGUGGCGAACGGGUGAGUAACGCGUGAGCAAUCUGCCUUGUACUGGGGGAUAACGACGGGAAACCGGCGCUAAUACCGCAUAAUACUAUGACAACGCAUGUUGACAUAGUCAAAACUCCGGUGGUACAAGAUGAGCUCGCGUCCAAUUAGCUAGUUGGUGGGGUAAUGGCUCACCAAGGCGACGAUUGGUAGCCGAACUGAGAGGUUGAUCGGCCACAUUGGGACUGAGACACGGCCCAGACUCCUACGGGAGGCAGCAGUGGGGAAUAUUGCGCAAUGGAGGGAACUCUGACGCAGCAACGCCGCGUGAAGGAUGAAGGUUUUCGGAUUGUAAACUUCUUUGAUCGGGGACGAAGAUGACGGUACCCGAGGAACAAGCCACGGCUAACUACGUGCCAGCAGCCGCGGUAAUACGUAGGUGGCGAGCGUUGUCCGGAAUUACUGGGUGUAAAGGGCGUGUAGGCGGGAAGGCAAGUCAGAUGUGAAAUUCCAGGGCUUAACUCUGGCGCUGCAUCUGAAACUGUUUUUCUUGAGUACUGGAGAGGAAAGUGGAAUUCCUAGUGUAGCGGUGAAAUGCGUAGAGAUUAGGAGGAACACCAGUGGCGAAGGCGGCUUUCUGGACAGUAACUGACGCUGAGGCGCGAAAGCGUGGGGAGCAAACAGGAUUAGAUACCCAGGUAGUCCACGCUGUAAACGAUGGAUACUAGGUGUGGGAGGUGUCGACCCCUUCCGUGCCGGAGUUAACACAAUAAGUAUCCCACCUGGGGAGUACGGCCGCAAGGUUGAAACUCAAAUGAAUUGACGG